AUCACAUGUACACAGGCUCUGAGGGCACACGGGUGUGCACCGCCCUGGCUCUAUGCUGCUCUGGGACACUGUCUCCCAGGGCCUGAGACCUCACAGGCGGUUGGGGAAACAGAGCUGUGAAUAUCCCCACGGUGCUCCUGUCUCAAGCAGAGCCGUGAUGGAAGUUUCCAUGGCAUAGACUAGAAUCCUGCAGCUUCUGACAUCUCCCAAGGAUUGCUCAGGGCACACCGAAGUUGGCAGCCAUCGAUUUCAAAUGACAGUUGAAGCCAGAUCCAGGGCUGAUGAUGCCUCAGCCGGCUGGUAGGUAGCUGUUUCCAGCCAGAGCGGCCCCUGGACUCCAGACUCCAGCACCCAAGUGUCUGACUAUAAUGCGAUGUUCCUGAAAGUGAUGCCCACCCAGGACGUGCCUGGCACCCUUGCUGUGCAUGUUCCACCUCACAAAACCUGCCUGGGCCAAAGGCAGCUGGCACUGCGAUGUCAGCAGCUGCAGACUGCAGGACAACCCUAGGUCAGGCAUGCAGCAGGUGUGGCGGUACCGUGAACAGGGGAGACUUACCAGGAGGCAGCUCCAGACAGAACAUGGUCCACAGAAGAGGAUCUGCAAUGCAGACUCCGUCCCUGAGGGAGGUCCGAGGGAACCAAUGUUUGCAUACAGCUCCACGAGUGCAGGCAUGGAGACGCUGACGGCUUUGUGAAAUGGCUUCUGAGGGACCCUGGUCGACCUGGGGCUGGAGCUGGGCCUUGACUCUCAACCUCCGAGCAGCUCUGAGUUAUCAUUGUCCCCAUUAUUACAUAACGAGUGAGAACGCUGCAGAGCCAGCCCAGCUCCUCAGGGUGGCUUUGGCCUUCACUGGCGACCCAACAAAGGAAUGGUGGCUGCUUACCUGGGGUGGAAAGCCUGCUUCACAGUGCGGUUCUUCCCAGAAAGCCAGCCCCGCCCUACAGCCGGCUUUGGUCUCCUUAUCCCAGGGCUCUUCCCUGACUGCUUCAGCUUGCAAACACCCUUUCUCUUUCAUAAAGGCUCUCCUGGCGUUUCUGUCUAACAACAUCCCUCUGCCCUUUGUGUUGCACUGGCCCGUGUCUUUUCCUCAUCUGCAUCACUGGAUCAGACAGAGCAGGAACUCACAUCUGCAUCCACUGCUAGAUUCCCUCCUCUUGAUCAGUGCCUGCUGCCCAACCCAGCGCUCAGUAAACAGCUGUAGAGAGACCAGCUGAUCUAUGUGCCAGAGGACAGGGCAGCCUGGGCAACAGCCGUAAGGGUUAAAUGUGGCAUUAGCAAAGGGUGACAGCAGGACCCCGGAGGCCUGGGGUUGAAGGCACCUGGCCAGGCAAGCCGUGCUUAAGUCUCACUGUUUCACCGUGUUCAUUUGUGGCCAAAGAAGGGUCAUCUGAGCCUCCGGGGAUCGUAGUGACUGGGCCAGGACAAGAGCCACAGCAAGGGCCGCCCCUCGAUGGGCUGGUAUCCCUACGCGGGCAGCAUGAGGACAGGAACAGACGGGACAGGACCGCAGUCCUUAUCUGUGUCUCCUCACUUGGUGUUCUCAUUAUUACACGAUGCAGUUAGCUUCCACAUAUAAAAAGGCUGGGCACAAAACUACUGGGCCCCGUGGAGAAAUAGUACCAAGAGUGUUCUUUUAUUCCCUCCCUUCUGAGCUUCCCACAGAAACGUCGUGGACCCUUUGUAUUUCAGAAAUGCUGCUUCUGCCUCUAAAAAGAGCUGACAGUCAUGCUCUAUCUAACACAUGGGCCACCUCCUCUGCCCCCCUCCCAGCCUGGAGCCGCCAUGCAGCCUUUCAUAAUGAACUACUGUCUGUCAUUUUACCACUUGCCUAGGGUCUUCGCGAGGGCUGCUGCCAUGCCGCUUUUGCAGAGUGAUCUAUAGAGAGGUGGUAUCUUUACUUUAGAUGCUUAUCUUA